UGGCAGAACAAAAAAGUAACAUAUAUUAUACAUCAUAGAUCAUACAGAAUUUUUGAGAAUAUACAUAGAGGACAUACUCUCAAAAUUAAACUCCUAACAAAAAUAUUGCAGCCGUUGAAAUGAAUCAAUUUUGGUAAUAUGGAAAUGGCCAGAUAUUUUUCGAGUUCUCUAGCUCUAACGACAUAAUGAACCGUCCGUGCCUCAAAAAUGGCUUUACAAAUAGCAUCUAAAUCAGCAAAAAACUUAAAUUCCGCCCAAAAACUCUCAUUAAUAACUGAAGUUGCAUAAUCUUGCUUGUUUGCAUAAUAAACUGAAUGGGAUUUUUUUUUC
rnacentral:misc_RNA from 1 species